GACGAACGCUGGCGGCGUGCCUAAUACAUGCAAGUCGAACGCAGUGGGGACGGGUGCGUAACACGUGGGUAACCUCCCAUCAGAGGGGAUAACCCUUGGCAACAGGUGCUAAACCCAUACUGAUGGAUGGACCCGCGGGGCAUUAGCUAGUGGGUGGGGUAACGGCUCACCAAGGCCACGAUGCAUAGCCGACCUGAGAGGGUGAUCAGCCACACUGGGACUGAGACACGGUCCAGACUCCUACGGGAGGCAGCAGUAGGGAAUCUUCGGCAAUGGACGAAAGUCUGACCGAGCAACGCCGCGUGAAUGAAGAAGGUUUUCGGAUCGUAAAGCUCUGUUGUUAGAGAAGCGGUAUCUAACCAGAAAGCCACGGCUAACUCCGUGCCAGCAGCCGCGGUAAUUC
rnacentral:rRNA from 1 species